GGUUACGACUGAAACCUGUGUCAUUGUUUCAUUUAAUAGCCGUCUGGAACUCAGUGGAUAUACAGCAGGUAACUUUUAAAAUUCUACUUUAACUUUAAAUCUGUUCCUCAUUUUAAGUCUUUGAAUUGUCUAAUUCUGUAAUAAAUUUAGAGCGAAUAAAUGCAAUUAUUUACAGACACUACAGCUGUUUACAGAUACUCAGUAGAGUUUUAUUGAUAAUAUGGCAUUUAUUAGGUUUUAAUAAUGUAACCAGCAGAUGAACAUCAUUUUAGCAUAAACAUUUCCUCUGAUAGUGUACACACUUCCUUUAUUGUGUGUUUUAUACACACACUGUUCCUGGAACUCAAAUCUCACAGUGAAAACACUCCAGAUCACAACAACAUGAACUCUCUCUCUCCUGUGAUGUGGAGAUUUCAGGAUGAAUUAAAGUCGAUUCCUGACCAUACAGAAAUAAACAACCUUCAGAUGAAAAUCCUUUAUUUUAAACAUGAAUAAAACCCAAAAUGUGCAGCAGCCAGAAGACAAGAACAGGAAUAUUAUAUUCAUAAAUAAAUGAAACUUGAUUAAAAAUAAACAGGUAAUGAACAGAUGGUGAAUAAACACUGUGUGUGUGUGUGUGUGUGUACUGCUGUUACAAUAAAAUAAAGUGUUACUGAUACCACAAACUGAUACUGAUAGGUAACUGAUACCUCCUAUAACAGCACGUCCCCUAGUGUGGUAAACUGAUAAAACCACCCUUCAGGAUAUUUAAAGAUUUUUUUGGGAUGUUCUGUAUCUACUGCACCUGUCCACACUGCUUCUUCCAAAUAAUGUUCAGAAUUAAUACUUUCUGAAGCACUUUAUCAUAUUAAAGAUAAAACACAUCAGUGAUAUAAAACUGUCUCCAUUAUGAAAGUGUUAAAUGAUAGAAAGGGGAAGUGAAUAAGUCAUUGUUUUAUACUGAAUGCCAGUUUUAUCGCCCACAUGAUCCAGUAAACAAAUCUAUGGAAAUGAUCAGGACAGUGACCUUUUCCUCGUCUGUUCUGAGCUCAGGACUGUCUGUCACACUGCUCAUAGUUUUAACAAAAAUAAAAUAAACAGCUGAGGAACUUUUAAUCCUGAAAUUCCAUCUUUACUUUCAGAAUAUCUGUAACUGGUCAAGUGCUUUAAAAUGUCCAGGAUGUUUCCUGUGUGAUGUGGUGAAACAUCUUCCUGGUUUUACACUCAGGCUUCUGAAAGAGAACUGAUUUACCUGCAGGAAGUUUCUAGACAGGUAGGACUCUGUGAUUCACCAUCGAUAAUGUCUAAUGUCUUCAGUCUGUAAAGGAUUCGGAUCCUUUCAUGUAAAUAAGCUUGAAAUCGUCAGUGUCAUCGUCACGUCUUCGUCACGGUAAUCACACCGCCCCGUGCGGAGACAAAAACUAUUCGCUUCCGUCCUGUCCACCAUUUUGAAGAAUGCAGGCGGCGGCUCGUGAAGGUCCGAGAGUUUUCUCAGUAAUAACAAGAGAAUGAAAGUAAUGUUGAUAAACCACUUGAAACAUUCCUGAAACCUGAUUGUCCGCUACAGAACAAUGCUAAUUGUUGACCAUUUAGACAUCAGUGUCCUCACAUGGAUGUGAUUCGAAAGGACAUCGUUAUCGUCGGACCUGGAGGCUUUACUGAGAUCUUUACGGUCCAUAAAUCCACUGAAUCUUAGCAUCACUCUGAAUUCCAGUUAUCCCAGUAUGGAGAGUUAUAGUGGUUCCUUCCACUUCCUGCAGUGUGACCGUCUCGUCUCCAGCUUCACACAGUAAACCUGCAUCACAGCUUCAGCUUCAUCAUUUCACUCACAAACAUCAUCACAUCAUCAUCACAUACAGUCCAUUAAAUCCACACUGUGAUACAGAUCUGUGAUUUCAGUUGAUGCUGCUUUCAACUUCAAAAUGCAGAAACUUUACAUUUCAGGGAAUCUGAUAUAUUCUGUAGAAAAUAUAUUAUUAUUUACUGCAGUAGUUCAUCUAAAACCAGAUACAGGAUGUUACAAUAUGCAGUGCCUUGAAGAAGUAUUCACCCACUUAAAUCUCACAAGAUUUCAUUUAUAAAUAACUCACAUAUUGUUCCAGUCUGUAUUUUUAUUCCAAACCAAUCAGCACUUAAAGUAAACUUUACUACAUUUACAAUGUGGAAGUUCAUUAUUUAUUUUGGGACAAAUUUCUGGGUUAUUCUUAGCAGAUGAAAGCAGGUUCUUUUGUAAGAAAUCAUUCUUUCAUUAAUUUCUCCCAGAAUGAAAAGCUUUCCCAGAGCAUGAUGCUGCCACCACCAUAUGUUACUAUAGAGAUUGGUGUUAAUCAGGGUCACACCACACACAGAACCUGAAUACAGUAUUUAGAUCAUUGCCUCAUCACAAUAAAACCCACAUCUUCACUGGGUCACUGUUGUGCUUUCAUACAGCUCUUCUUGAGUAACUGGUUUGUUUUUAGCCGUGUCUCCCACACAGUCCUGAGCUACACAGAGCUCUUGUAAAGGUGUGGUGCAGCUUCACUCCAUUCUCAGACGCUCUACUCUGUAACUCCUUCAGGGUGACUGUUGGCCUCACUGUGGCUUCCAUCACCAGUCAUUAUCUAGGUAGUGUUUGUGUAGGUGAUGUGGAUGCAGCUUCCACUUCCUCAAUACUGACCUCAAUGGGAUGUCCAACCAACUGGAUAUAAUUUUACACCCUGUUCCAUCCUGAAUAUCUAUUACAUUAUCUUUAAUUUUCUUAGAAAUCUCCUUACUUCAUUUUCACCUCAUUCAUACAGACUGUGUCUUCAAUGGCACUUCAAUAAAAGUGAUUUUUAAUCAGAAUUGAAGCUGUUUAAAUGAAGUCAAUUUCAGGUGAAAUAUUUCAUUGUUAAGAGAAUAUCUUUCAUCUGAGCUUUGAGAUACUUGGACAUCAAUAAUUCAUUUUUACUGGAAAUUGACUAUAGAACAGGAGUGCAGUAAAAAUACUGAGAGGAAGAAUCAUUCAUUAUUUGUAAUUCUGACAAAUCUGAUUAGUUCUGAGGGGGCUGAAAACUUUUGCAAGACUUUGUACAUUUAGAGUUAUCUUUAUUUAAGGAAAAAAAGGAUUUCCACUGAAAAAAAAUCAAUAUAAAAUUGAUGCUGGAUCAUUUGUGUCUGGUUUUCAUGAAUCAGAUGCUCCAGUUUUUAUAUAAUUGCUGAUUUUAGAGAAGGGUGAAGUCAUCAGAGUGGAAAACAUCAUCACAAAUCAGCAUAAUGAUUCUAUUACACCAUGCACUUUUAUUAUUUAAUCUUAAUUGCAAAUGAUAAAAAGGUAUUAAACUGGACCUUUCCCAGUCACUGGACUGAUACCAUCCAGAAAACACCUUCAGUACCUUAAUGUGAACUUCUAGAUAUCACUCUAAACUCUAUUUAAGGUACAGGAGUGUUUCCUAAGCUUGUUGUUCCUUAAAUACAUUAAAAGUAAACAACACAACCCUCUAAAGUUAUAACAGAUGUGUUUGUAAAAUCCACACCAGUGAUAAUAAUAAUGAAGGUUUAGUAUUUAUUCAGAGUCUGUAAUACAAACUAAACAAAGGUUAAUGUUUUAAUUGAAAAGUUAAAGUGAUGUGAAAUGUGAUCUUUUCAUUGGACUCAUUAACACACAGCUCUAAACUGCUGUAUCACUGUUCAGCUCAACACUGAGGAAAAUUCAUUCUAUCCAACACACCAGCUAAAUAUCCACUCUACUCUUUCCUCCUGAAUUCUUGUGUAAGACUCUUUAUAUUUCCAGCUCCAGUGUGUUGUGUUGUACAAUAAAGGAGUAAACUUACAGCACAAUAGGAGGUGAAGACACCGGAGAAUCCUGUUUCCUGCUAAAAUAUUCACCAUUUUCAUAAUCCAUAGUAAGCGUUUCUCACACAAACAUUUUCCCGUCGUCCUGAACAUCAGUGUCAGAGAAGAAUUUAAUACCAAUUUCAGAUCAGAUCCAUGAUAAAAGUUUCUGCUGUACACACGUUUCCGAUGCUGUUAGCUUAGCGUCUUUUCUGGCUCACAUCCAUUAACCCGCUGGAGCUCCUCCUGUUCAGUGUGAACAUGCUCACUACACACUCUCCCCUCAGCUCGGGGUUCAACACCUUUUUAGCUGUUUUCACAUGGAUUUACUGCUGGAUCUCAUAUGGGAUAAUAGGAAAAGACAAUAAUAAUUAUUAAUAAUAUAUUUUAAGUGGUUUAUAAUUAUGUAAUCUUCUACCAGUGUUAAAUGUAUAAAUAUAUGUUUUGUAUUUAAAAGAACAGUUCAGGACACUGAACACUGCAAUUGGCUUGUAAUUGUUAUCUGAUGUCACGUGAUGCAUUUCAUAAAUAAUUAGCUGAUCUAAACUGUUAAUAUUCUCAUCCUGAUCUCAUUUAAUUUCUAUUUUACAGUUUCAGAGCUGUGCCAUGCCUCUGUACUCCAAUAUUAAAAUAAACAGCAAUAACAGAUCACAUAAAUCUGACCAGUGGACACUGGCAGCACAUCACUAGGACGACUGGAUUUUGCAGCAGGAAUGCAUUUAACUUUUUAUACUAAGUGCAGUGACAAUUUGCCCCAAUGUGUGAAUAAGUGUGUGUGUGUGUGUGUGUGUGUGUUCCAUCCAGAUUGUGUUCCCAGUUCAUGCCUGAUGUUCCUUAGAUCUGGAUCCACCUCCAUUCACACCAGGAUACACCAGUUACAGAAAGUGUGUGUGUGUGUGUGUGUGUUUGUGUGUGAACAAGUGCAAACACUGAAACUCUUUCUGAAAUUCUUUUGAACUCUACAGUAAAAGCAGCUUGUAUGAUGUAGAAGAAGGUAAGUGUUCAGGGCUUCAGUGUCUCACAUCUAGUCAUCAGUCUGCAUUAGAAACUAAAGAUUUUUUUUAUUCUUGUGGUAAUUUGCAUAUAAAAUGAACUGAUGCUCAUUUUCCAUGUAAAUUUAAAUCAGCUGUGAGAAACGCUCCACAUAAGUCGUUGUGAAUUUUGCAGUGUGACUAAACCCAAGAGCAGUUCUGACUGUGAUUAUUACAGGGCUUUGUGUUUGUGUGUGUUAGUUCAAACACUGAUACACAAUAACAGCAUUAAUGAAGUGUUCCUUAAACGUCUGUUCUUACAUUUCUCUGUUUUUAACCUGGUGACUGUAUUGUUCCUGAACUGAAGUGUUGUUUGUGUCAUGAAGACCUCGAAAUAAAAAGAAUCUACAAGAGCUCUGACCCAGAUAAAACACACCACAGAGAUUAAACGAUUAAAAUAACCGGGUUUGAGCUUUUCCUGUAAAGUUCGUUUACACCAUGUCAGAAGUCUUUAUCAAAUCAAUCAAUUAACAAAGACUUUGAAGUCGUUAGCAAUGAGCAAAAAGAUGCUCUGAAUCAGCAGCAUUUAUGUGUCAGUGUGUAUAACAUACUUUUACAUUUCUAUUUUAUAUAAAUAUUUGGUGUUUAUUAGGAUUUAAUGAUUGUCAGUAAUCACUGUCAGUAAUUAUUUAUGGAGUCUGUUGUAGGAAGUUCAACACUGGACUGGAUUCCUGUCUAGAGUUAAAGAUUUUCACCCUCAGGUAGACGUUACAUUACAUACAGGUAACGUGUCAACUUCACUUCAGUCUGUACUUGUAACCUGAAAUAUCAUGCUGAUGAUUAAAACAUUUAAUAAAAUACUUUUUAUGUAA